rnacentral:rRNA from 1 species
UACGGAGGGUGCCAGCGUUGUUCGGAAUCAUUGGGCGUAAAGGGCGCGUAGGCGGCUUUGUAAGUCCGUUGUGAAAUCCCUCGGCUCAACCGAGGAACUGCGACGGAUACUGCUCGGCUUGAGUCCCGGAGAGGGUAGCGGAAUUCCCAGUGUAGCGGUGAAAUGCGUAGAUAUUGGGAGGAACAUCGGUGGCGAAGGCGGCUACCUGGACGGGUACUGACGCUGAUGCGCGAAAGCGUGGGGAGCGAACAGG